CUCCCUCAGGAUUUUUUUAAAUAGUUCCUAUUUACUAACAAAAAUAUUCAUCGCAAUUUAUAGGCUAAAGAGGUGAAUCAGUAUCAUUUUGGAAGAGAACUGAGACAUUGAUCAAGAGAAAAAGACUCCGAGA
rnacentral:lncRNA from 10 species